rnacentral:rRNA from 1 species
UAUACUAAUUCCACCAAUUAACCAAAACCCUUAACCAAUACUGAAUGACUCCAUAAACAUAUGGAAUACUAUAUGCUAGAACUAGUAAUAAGAAGAAGACCUUCUCCAAAAUAUAAGUGUGAGCCGAAAUGAACAAUUCACCGGCAUUUAACGCAACUGAACUAAUAGUAGUAACAAAAACAAGAAAACCCUACUACAUGCUGCGUCAACCUUACACUAGAAUAUUCCAGGAAAGAUUAAAAGAAAAGGAAGGAACUCGGCAAACCCAAUAACCCCGCCUGUUUACCAAAAACAUCGCCUCUUGCAAAAAUAUAAGAGGUCCAGCCUGCCCAGUGACAAAGUUAAACGGCCGCGGUACCCUAACCGUGCGAAGGUAGCGCAAUCACUUGUUCUUUAAAUGAGGACUAGUAUGAAUGGCAUCACGAGGGUUACACUGUCUCCCUUUUCCAAUCAAUGAAACUGACCUCCCCGUGAAGAGGCGGGGAUAAAACUAUAAGACGAGAAGACCCCAUGGAGCUUUAAACUCAGUAUCAACUAUCUAACUAUACACCAUCAAAAUCUGAUAGCUCUGACCACUAGUUUUCGGUUGGGGUGACCGCGGAGCAAAACAAAACCUCCACGAUGAACGAACCAAUGUUCCUAAUCAUAGAGCCACAGCUCAAAGAAUCAAAAAAUUGACAUAAAUUGAUCCAAUUAGUUUNGAUCAACGAAYCAAGUUACCCUGGGGAUAACAGCGCAAUCCACUUCAAGAGCUCCUAUCGACAAGUGGGUUURCGACCUCGAUGUUGGAUCAGG